UGGGGAAUAUUGGGCAAUGGGGGAAACCCUGACCCAGCAACGCCGCGUGAAGGAAGAAGGCUUUCGGGUUGUAAACUUCUUUGACGAGGGACGAAAUAAAUGACGGUACCUCGAAAACACGCCACGGCUACCUACGUGCCAGCAGCCGCGGUACUACGUAGGUGGCACGCGUUGUCCGGAUUUACUGGGUGUAAAGGGCGCGUAGGCGGGAUUAUAAGUCAGAGGUGAAAUGCCAGGGCUUAACCCUGGAUCUGCAUUUGAAACUGUAGUGCUAGAGUAUCGGAGAGGCAGGCGGAAUUCCUAGUGUAGCGGUGAAAUGCGUAGAUAUUAGGAGGAACACCAGUGGCGAAGGCGGCCUGCUGGACGACAACUGACGCUGAGGCGCGAAAGCGUGGGGAGCAAACA
rnacentral:rRNA from 1 species